GCCCACCCACCUGCACCUGACAGCUGUGGGCUGUGCUCUCAGGGAGGCACCGUCAGAUGCUACCAGACUACAGAGGAGAGCACCCUCAAUCCUGACUGAAGGUUUGGGAAAAGGCUGCUCAGAAGAGGUGAUACUUGAUAUGGGCCCUGGAGGAGGAGAAGCAGUUUGAGAAGACAGCAGUGAGAGAUGGCAUCCGGGCAGGCGAGAAAUGUCCUGAGCACCAAGGGUACAGUCAGAAAUGAUGAAUCCAGAAAUGAUGCCCUCCAGAACUUCUGGUGAGGAAGGCACUCAGGAAAAUGCAGCACCCUAUGGAGGCCCAGAAAGGAGGGCAUUCAGGAAGAACACAGUCUGAUGGUGUCAAGUGCAGCGGAGGCUAAGAGAAUUCAUUUUUCACAUCUUCAUUCACUGGGAUUCUGGACCAUAAUAUAUGUAAACACACAAAAUACUAAAGAUUGAAAAUACAA
rnacentral:lncRNA from 1 species